rnacentral:misc_RNA from 1 species
GUUAUGGUAUAUUUUGCGCUUGCCACUGUAAUAUCUGGGUAUGGGUGUUGGUUGGUAUCAAAGCAACUUCCUUCUGAAAAUGAGGAAACUGCUGGAUUCUUGAGAACGGACGUGGAAGAUAAUGAAACUACAAACUCUACAACUCUUAGGAAGAAAGAAAUUAAGGGAACUAUAAAGUUGCAAAGUCACUAUGCAGAAGAGGCAAUUAGGCUAAGAGCUGGAUUUUGGGGAUAUCUUAUGCAAACAAUUUUUCAGACUUGUGCAGGUGCUGUCAUCCUAA